GGGCGGCACGCCCUUGAAAAGAUAUCAAGGGCGCCCUAAGGUCGGCUCAGACGGGACAGAAACCCGUCGUAGAGUGCAAAGGCAAAAGCCGGCCUGACUGGAUCCUCCACAGUAAGGGAUCCAGGGGCGAAAGCCGGGCUUAGCGAUCAUCCAUGUCCCCCUUGGUGGGGGCUGGAUGUGUCAGAAAAAUUACCCUAGGGAUAACAGGCUCGUCGCGGGCGAGAGUCCCCAUCGACCCCGCGGCUUGGUACCUCGAUGUCGGCUCUUCCUAUCCUGGCCCUGCAUAAGGGGCCAAGGGUGAGGCUGCUCGCCUAUUAAAAGGGAACGUGAGCUGGGUUUAGACCGUCGUGAGACAGGUCGGACUUUAUCUGCUGGGAGUGCUGGCUGCCUGAGGGGAAAGGGUCCCUAGUACGAGAGGAACGGGACGCUGUGGCCUCUAGUUAACCGGUUGUCCGAUAGGGCAGACGCCGGGCAGCCACGCCGUUGGGGAUAAGGGCUGAAAGCAUCUAAGCCCGAAGCCCCUCCCGAAAAUAGGCAGCCAUUCCCCUUUUAAAGGCUGGGCUGGCAACAGUCUGGCUUACGGGGACGAGGGCUCCCAUAGAAGAUGGGUUUGAUGGAGCCGGGGUGUAAGCUGGAAGGCUUCGGCCGACCAGUUCAGCCUGCGGCUUCCAACCGCCCGAGAUGUCGGGUAC
rnacentral:rRNA from 1 species